rnacentral:rRNA from 1 species
UACGUAGGGUGCGAGCGUUAAUCGGAAUUACUGGGCGUAAAGCGUGCGCAGGCGGUUGUGCAAGACAGAUGUGAAAUCCCCGGGCUCAACCUGGGAACUGCAUUUGUGACUGCACGACUGGAGUGUGGCAGAGGGGGAUGGAAUUCCGCGUGUAGCAGUGAAAUGCGUAGAUAUGCGGAGGAACACCGAUGGCGAAGGCAAUCCCCUGGGCCUGCACUGACGCUCAUGCACGAAAGCGUGGGGAGCAAAC